rnacentral:rRNA from 1 species
CUGAAUAACUCCGCAGAUCGCAUGGUCUAGUACCGGCAACAUAUCUUUCAAGUGUCUGCCUUAUCAACUUUCGAUGGUAGUUUAUGUGACUACCAUGGUUGUAACGGGUAACGGAGAAUUAGGGUUCGACUCCGGAGAGGGAGCCUGAAAAACGGCUACCACAUCCAAGGAAGGCAGCAGGCGCGCAAAUUACCCACUCUCCGCACGAGGAGGUAGUGACGAAAAAUAACGAGACAGUUCUCUUUGAGGUCUGUCAUCGGAAUGGGUACAAUCUAAACCCUUUAACGAGGAUCUAUUGGAGGGCAAGUCUGGUGCCAGCAGCCGCGGUAAUUCCAGCUCCAAUAGCGUAUAUUAAAGUUGUUGCGGUUAAAAAG